UUCGACACACUAUCAUUAACUGAAUCCAUAGGUUAAUGAGGCGAACCGGGGGAACUGAAACAUCUAAGUACCCCGAGGAAAAGAAAUCAACCGAGAUUCCCCCAGUAGCGGCGAGCGAACGGGGAGGAGCCCAGAGCCUGAAUCAGUGUGUGUGUUAGUGGAAGCGUCUGGAAAGGCGCGCGAUACAGGGUGACAGCCCCGUACACAAAAAUGCACAUGCUGUGAGCUCGAUGAGUAGGGCGGGACACGUGGUAUCCUGUCUGAAUAUGGGGGGACCAUCCUCCAAGGCUAAAUACUCCUGACUGACCGAUAGUGAACCAGUACCGUGAGGGAAAGGCGAAAAGAACCCCGGCGAGGGGAGUGAAAAAGAACCUGAAACCGUGUACGUACAAGCAGUGGGAGCACGCUUAGGCGUGUGACUGCGUACCUUUUGUAUAAUGGGUCAGCGACUUAUAUUCUGUAGCAAGGUUAACCGAAUAGGGGAGCCGAAGGGAAACCGAGUCUUAACUGGGCGUUAAGUUGCAGGGUAUAGACCCGAAACCCGGUGA
rnacentral:rRNA from 1 species